rnacentral:lncRNA from 1 species
AACCCACUUUUCCAAGUUCCUAAUCAACUCUUCACUUUACUCUCCCCAACUUUAGAUUUCAAAACCAAAUUUAUUCAAUAAUGCUCCCUACUUAGACAUAAGCAAAAGGCAAAAUUAUGCAAACAACUCGGUUUGAGGUUUCAACUGACACGAAAGAAAUUAAGAUUCAUUUAUUCCACAAUUUUCAAUUGAUUUUACAAUGAUCAAUCAAAU